AUGGUCGCCGGCGGGAGGGCGGUCCUGCGGCGGGCGAAGAUGGGCGGCGACGACGACGACGAGUACGUUGUGGACGAGGAGGACGAGGUAGAGGAUGAUGUUGAGUACGCGGCCGCUGCGUGCUCCGACGAGGACGCCGGGGAGGAGGAGGCCGAGGAGGAUGAGCUUGAUGCAGAUUUCAAUGUGGCUGAGGAGGAAGUUGAGGAUCAGGAAGAGGAUGACGAGCUGGAGAUCGAGACGCCAGAGUCAGUCAAGUAUCGCUCUGGUGGUAGGAAUGUGAAGGAGGAGGAUGAGCUUGAUGCAGAUUUCAAUGUGGCUGAUGAGGAAGUUGAGGAUCAGGAAGAGGAUGAAGAGCUGGAGAUCGAGACGCCAGAGUCAGUCAAGUAUCGCUCCGAUGGCAGGAAUCUGAAGCAGGAGGACGAGUUUGUUGAUGCAGAUUUCAAUGGGGUGGAGGAGGAAGUUGAGGAUCAGGAAGAGGAUGAGGAGUUGGAGACCGAGAUGCUACAGCCGAGGAACCUGCCCGAGGCCCGUGGCAAGGGCAGGAAGGUGAAGCCAACGGGCUCUAGCCGGCAGAGGCACGAGGAUGAUGAUGAUUACGAGGAAGAGAUCGAGGAUGAGGAUGAAGACUUUGAUCCGGAGGUGGACGAAGAUGAGGAGGAUGAGGAGGAAGAUGUUGAAGAAGAAGAUGAUGAUUUGGGGGAUUAUGCCCCAACUCGUGCCACAAAGGUUAGACCUAGGAACCACUUGGCCAAGCGGAAGCCAGCAGCUGGGCGCCAACACCGUAAGAGGAAGAGUGGUUCCAGGGUUUCCAAGGGAAAGACAAGGAAUGGCACGUCAGCACGUCGGCGUAGGAGCAAGCGGCGGGUGGCUGACGACUAUGAAGACGAUGAGGAGGAAGAGGAUGAUGAUGAUUUUGUUGUCAAGGACGACGUGGAGGAAGAGGUCAAUUACCGGCCAAGGAAGAAGGCCAAGGUUGGGAGGAAGACAAGGGAAGGCACUGCAGAGCCAGUUGCUGUGGGAGAAGCAUGGCCAUCAGUCGAAUCUGACACAUCAGAAUUUGAGUUUGUGACAUCUGACGAGGAUCAUGCUGAGAAGGAAACACCAGUAGCUGAGCCUGCGAGGAUCAAGAGAAAGAAGGGUAGGAGGAAGAGGGGUUCUGAAUCAGACUCGUCUUCAGACUCUGAUUAUGUCAUAUCAGAGGAGGAACUUAAGGAUUUGGGGGUGCCUAGGCCCCAAGAGACCAUGCCACAGCUGCCUUCGCCCCCAGCACGAAGGACCAUUGCUCCUAGGAGGGUAGACGAGAAGGGAAAAGAGCCAGAGGAGGCUUUGAAACAGAUAUGUGGUAUCUGCCUCUCAGAGGAGCAGAGAGCUACAAUACAGGGUGUGCUUAAUUGCUGCUCACACUACUUCUGCUUCGCGUGCAUCCUGGAGUGGUCAAAGGUGGAGUCGAGGUGUCCACUGUGUAAACGGCGUUUCAACACAAUUACCAAGUCAUCAGUGGCAGAUCUAGGAUUGGGGUUGAGGAAUGCUCCCGUUAGGGUAGAAAAGCGCGAUCAGGUAUACCAGCCCACUGAAGAUGAAAUGAGGCGUUGGUUAGACCCAUACGAAAAUGUUGUAUGUAUAGAGUGCAAUCAAGGUGGUGAUGACAAUCUCAUGUUGCUAUGUGAUAUAUGUGAUUCCUCUGCACAUACUUUCUGUGUUGGUCUGGGAAGAGAAGUACCCGAAGGGAACUGGUACUGUGGUGGGUGUAGAUCCAGUGUGGAAGGGCCUUCUCAUGCACAAACACAGGAUAGGGUGGUUCACCGUGGAGAUAGUAACAUGAACACCGCCGAUAGCAGUUCUGGUUCGUUGGGCAGAUCUACACCAAGUGGAGUGUUCCAGAGACCACCACCAAUAAACGUUCAGCCUUCUUUGCAAGGAUUUGAUCUGAAUCUCUCUCCAAUAGAAACCCCUGAGGAAGAUAAGCGAGCCGAGUCACAUCUCUCAGCUGAACCUGUAUCAACUCCUACUGGGAGGCAUGCAACUCUUGAUAGGAGGCGUGCCUUGAACCGACGCAUUCGUAUUCUUCUAUUUAGACCUAGGACUGCAACUAAUGCUUGGCAGAAUAGCAUUCAGCAUGACAGAAGCGCACCAGGAACAGAACAAAAUCAACGGAUCACCUGCACCUCUACAGAUGUGAGCCCAUCAUGUUCCAGGGCUGAUUUUAUGCAGAGCCAGCAGAGUAGCUCACAUUUUGUACAGUCUGCAAGUAAUCUUAAUCAAUGCACUGAUGAGGGUGGAAGCAAUUUCCGAGAAGUAGCAAAUGCCAAGGACCAGCUGAUUCCUAUUGUCAAGAAGAGCAUCAAGCACAUUUGUGCCCGGUCUCCAUUGGAUCAAUCUUCUUUCACGAAUGUAGCACGGCGAGCGACACACACUAUCUUAGCGUUGUCUGGGAUUGCACACAACAAGGAUAGGGUUGUUUCUACACCUUUUCCUUUUCCUAGCCAUUGUUGCCACGCCUGUGAUGGCCGAGAGCCAGCGUUUCUCAUGAGAACCAUCUGCUCGUCAUGCUUCAACUCAUUCGUUGGUGAUGUCGUCAGUCACAUCGCUAAUAUGUUUUCUUGA
rnacentral:rRNA from 1 species